GAUGGCGGGGAUGCGAGGACAGGCUGUUCAGUAGCCGCCGAGGUGGGAAGGAGGAUUCCGCGCAUUCUGGCCACCGGAACUUUACAAGGAAAAACGGAACUCAUAAGGAAUUUCUCUGAAAUGUAACCCUCCCUUGGCAAGAGUGAGCCUCCGUGGGGACAUCUCUAGGGAAGAGUGACUGCAGCAAUGAGAGGGGUAUGUCAGUGGCCCCCCAGGUCUCUUGGAAGCAGGACAGAAUUGUGAUGGUGAAGGUGGAGAAAGAGGACUGUUAGUGGGAGAAAGAGGCCUGCUGACCAGGAAUCGCCCACCCAGCCGGCUGCAGUCCAUCAGCACUUCAGCCAGUCAUACAGCAGGUGGCUCUGUCCCAGGAGUUUGCUCUGCCACAGAAGCUGGAGCUGGGGAGGCAGAGCAAGGAGCCCAUUAUGGAGCUAAUGGCACUGGAGCAGUUCUGACCACUCUGCCCAAGGAGCAAGCAUGCCUGGAGCUGGGAGCACCCCUGGGCAGAGGAAGGGGUGAAAUUUGUCUGCAGGUGGGAAAGAAAAACUUCAUGAAUGAAGCAAGACAGCAGACCUGUUUGAAGAACUACGUCUCGUCUUGUGGAUCCUCCAGGCACCUUUGGACACUGAGAGUCCCAGAGACACUGGACUGGCGACUGUGUGUGGCUGUGGGUACUGCUGUCUACGCAGAGGAGUUUGUGUGCAGGGGGUUGACCUUCAGUGAAGAUGUAGCCUGCUUUCUCUGGGAUGGCGGUUGGUUGUUUUCUUCAAGGUCACCCAGGGAGGAAGGUGAUCUCGCCCUUAUUGCUGUCCCUUCUUCCUCAAGCCCCACCACCAAGCAGGCCUACAGAGUUAGCCCCAAUAACCUAUGGGGCUUAUCUGACCAGGUGACAGAUGCCGUGUCUCUAGGCCCUUGGAAUGACCUUGGAGGGAGAAGAGGCAAGCAACCAUGAAGGAAUCAGUAUUGUUGUUGAGUUGUCCAUUCACGGUAUCGUGAUUAAGUAUGACUGGCUCAGGGGCCACCCUGUACCUGAACUUGGCGCUUUCUGAGGGCAAGGCUUGUGUCUUGGACUGUCUGUUUACACAGUGCUGAUGUAGCAUCUAGCAUAUACUAGGCAUUCAUUCCGUCUCUACUGAGUGAAUAAUCACUCCAUACCUACCAGAAAAUCAAGGAGUACUUGAAGGUGAUGAGGAUAGAUGUUAAUGACUAUUAAAAUGCCCUCCCACACACUGUCACUCCUGCCCCCAGCAAGUACGUCAUCCCUCUGUAUGUGGCUAAGUUCUGGGUCUCCUACAUAAAGUCCAAAAGAGGCCACAUGCCUUUUACUGGUUGCAAAAUCUCUGCCUCCCCUGAGAAACCGAACAAAUUUUGAGUACCAGUUGAGGGUUCUGCAUAGCCUUGGAGUUGUAACUGUCUUGAAAAGCUAGUAAGAUAAAACUGUUCUUGGUGGGAAUAGUAAGAACCAGUCCUUUGUGUUAGUGUUGCCCAUGGAACUGCCUUUCCUAGAAACCUUGGUCUUCUUCCCAGCUGAACUUUUGACUUGGUGAACAUGUCACUAGGCCAUCAAGAGUUAGGAGAGAAGGAAAAGGAGAGCCUGGCUAGUUGCCUUUUCAUCUGCUUACCAGAAGCUCAUGCCCCACCCAGUUGUCUCAGGGACAUGGGAGACAGCCAGUUACUGGCUUUAUGUACUCCUGUCCUGAACUAGUCUAGGUGGAAUGUCACUUAAAAUGAUUCUCCGGCUUAUCCUCUCAAAUUGCUCCUCUAAUGACUAUCCCAAGGCUGAAAUGAAUGAGAACUUACAAAAACAGGUAGAAAUGUUCUACUGAAUGAAUACUCAGCUGACAGCUGUUGGGGUGGCAGGUGACCUACGCUAUCCUAGGGAGUUGGCAAAGGCCAUUCCAAAGACAGCAAUAAGCUUCUAGAAAAUGUUCAAGAAACUGGGUCUAGAUGGAAAGCUUUAGACACCUCCCUCUUGAUUCCCAACUCCCACCAUGGAGGUCACCAGCAGAGUUCCUCUUCCAAGAAGCCAAGCCAGCCUCUUGGUGUUCAUCCACUGGUUCUCCUUGCUGGCCUCUGCCCCUCACUCACCGAGUAUAUACAAGAUUCUGACAAAAAUGGUAGCUAGCAUGUACUUAGUGCUCACUGUGCCAAAUGCUUCACAGGCCAUAGCCUCAUCUAAUCCUCCCAACAACCCUUUGAACUGGUUUAUUUCUUUCCUCAUCUUACAAAUGGAAACAGUAAAACUUAGGUUAAGUAACUUGUCCAAGGUCAUGCAACUAAGAAGUAGAGGAGCAAGGAUUCAAAUCCAGGUCUGCCUGUUACACUUUUUAAAGUUCUAGUUUUUCCAUUGCAGGAUUUUUAAUUCCAUUUGCUGAAAUAACUGGCCCAUUUUCUGGCUGUGUCGCAUAGCCAUCUUGAAAUAGUUCUGCUUCCACAGUCCCUUCUUGAGCCUAUUAAAGCCUCCAGAAAGGUUUCUAAGAGACCAAGUCUAGUAGGUAAUGAACACUACCAGUCCCUAUUAAAGCCAUAUUCGUGGGAGAUACCAAGCUUCCUCCUAACAGCCACUGGAAUUUCUACUGUGGGAACUUGGAGAGAUUCUUGAGUCUGCUCCACAAGUUAAGCAUUAUGAUUUAUUUACUUCACUGCAUCUAGGGCCUCAAGUGGGAUGGCCAGAAUGGCUGGAGAUAGCCAAGAUGGUCUGACUGGGGUUUUUUGUUUGAAAACUUGGUUCUUUCUACCAGCUGGACUCCUCACUCCUCUCUUUGUGGUGUCCUCUGGGACUGAAAUGCCCAAAAUGGAUUGUUUACUCUUGUUUCUGUUGUUUUCAUGUUCUUUCACCUGACCACCCUCUCCAAUAGAGUAGCCAUAUCUUCUUAGGCUGCUGUCAGGACUCUCAGAACUCCUCUCCCUGCUCUUUGUCACUGCACUGGACCUGCCCUACUCCAUGUUCCCUUCUGUGAGGACAACCUUGUUUAGCCCCUGCUGCCCAGGUGGCUGUGUUAUGCUGCAUGACCUUGCCUCCGAGGCCCUGCUCCCGCUACCACACACAUAUAGUUCACUGGACCAGGAUCCAAUACUGGCUGGCAGUGACGUUCGAAGUCACUUGGCUCAAAAGCCAGCCAAACCAAUCAGAUCUCUCCUUUUGGAAAUUCAAAUGCAAAUCAGACACUAUAGUGUGCAACAAGGUGUCAUGAGGGCAAGUAAGGCCUGGAUGAACCAAUGUGCUGGCCAAAUUUCCAUUGAACAAAACACUUGGAGAUUAAAGGAAAACAAAAAUAAGCUGUGACAUGGGUGGGAGGGAGGUGAAAUCCACGCACUGUGGGAAGGAAAUGCACACCUGGUUUUGGCAAAAGGGUGAAGGAGGGAGUGACCAGAGAAGAGCUGGAACUCCAUGACAGGCAGAGAGGAGUCCAGUCCAGAGCUGCUCUGCUGUCCAUGACUCAACAGACCUGGCCUUGCCCAUGCAUGUCUUUGCAGCAAGCACAUUACUGUUCCCUUUGGUAAUUGGUUGGCUUAGAAGUGGUCAGUAUGAUUUACUUCUGUCAGUAAAAUUUACAGCGAACUGGUUGGAACUGUCUUGAAUCCAUUAAGAAACAAGACUGAGGGAAAAGGGCAACAUGCUGAGGAUGGCAGAGCAGACACAGAAAGAACCUGGAUCCUUGGUGAUAUCUUUGAGCCACCAUACCUAUCCAAGUGAAACCAGAAAUGCAGAAGAUGGCCAUCACUGCUAAUUCAAUUGGAGGGUUAAUGUAGUGGGACACAAGGAUUUAGUAUGCUAAUCGAAGGGUGAAGAGUUAGGAUAGGAGGACAGAGAAUAGUCUAUUGAGGAUCGGAAAAGCUUUCAUCUGGUCCAAUUUUCAUCAUGCAAUUUUUUUUUUCCUGCACAAGAAAACGAGUCUGAUUCUUCUCUUAGGAAGUAUGUUGAACUCAAGAGCUCCAGCUCUUCCUCCUUGAAACUGUUUUUAAAAUGUAAAACAAAAGAAAUUGGCAUUCUCCUAAUGUAUCUUACAAAUGACUUCAUUAUAUUUUGGCCUUGAAAAAAGGCAGCCAUCCCAUUUCCCAUCCCAGAAUAGUCUUCAGCAGUGCAGAGAUGUUGCCUGUAGAAGUUCAUCAGAUUUAUGGGGCCCAACCACAGAUGUGUUGCAAAGACAUUAGAGUUUGCAACCACCAGAUUCUGCCACUAAGCCUCACCCCUCUCAGUGCAGUCCCGUGCACCCUCCUGUGGUCCAAAAGCCAAAACCAGUGCAGCUCUGAUGUUUGCCUAUUUUAUUUAUUUAUUUAACAGAAAUAUAUCAAAUACCUAGAAGAAUGAACUUAAGCCUAUAAAAAGAAUAAGAAAGAUAAGUCAUUAGAGUCACAUACACACGAAAAUCUUAGAUAAUCAGAGAAAGGAAUAAAGCUUCUGUCAGGGCUAAAAAGGCAUAAAAGUUUAAUCCCUACCUUGAAGGGAUUAAUGCAUUAAUAGGGUACUUAAUAAACCCUGAAUUCCCCCCACCCCCGAAAGUUUCCCUAUAUAUCGCUAAGGAUUCUCUGAAAUCCAUAAGGAGAAGAACCAAAGGCUUUUCCCUAUUCGUCACCAUCCAGGUUUUUCUCCAGUAUGAAUUAGCCUGAUUACUGACUAAACACCCUCCCACCAUCUUCACAAUGAAAGUGUUCCUUUCCUGUGAAUUCUCCAAUGAUGAGAAGGAGCUAAGCUAUCCCCAAAUGAGUUUGCACAUUGAUUAUAAUCAUAGUCCUCUCUCCAAGAUGAAUGAGCUGAUGUUCAGUACACUCCACGCUUCCCCUAGAUAGUUUUCCAUAUUCGUACAUAUGACCAGUUUAAGUUCCAAAUGAAUUAGCUGAUAUUGUCUAAGGAUGGAACACUGAUUGAAGGUUCUUCCUCAUCCAUUAUACUCACAGGGCCCCUCUGCUACGAAACCCCAGAUGUCUAAUUAGCUCUAAGCACGAUCUAAAAACGUUUCUACAUCCAUUACGUGCAUAUGGUUUUUCUCCAGUGUGAAUUCUCUGACGUUGAAUGAGCUUGACUUUCCCGAAAGCCCUCAUACGUUUAUCGCAUUUGUAGAGUUUCUGUGGCAUGUGAAUUAGCUGAAGCUGUGUUGGAAUUCUGACAGAUGCUUCCCACAUCCCCAGGGAUUCUCUCCAAGAUGAAUAUUGUAUGUUGAUAGGAUGGGAGCCCCAAAGAAAAUUGCCCAUAUUCACAACAGUCAAAGAUGUUCUCGCCAUCUGAAUACUGUAAUAUUGAAUAAAUUCUGAAUUCCGU